UGACCUGCUUGCCCAAUCCCCUCGUCCCACACCAGCUGAACCCUAGCCCCCUUUCCCCGAUACCCACAGCGGCCGCCUCCUCUCCAUUCCCCCACGCCGCCGGCCUUGCCUCUUUGCUCGUCUCCUCCUCUCCUCUUCCAUGUCACCAUGGUUCCAGAUUGGGCGCAGGUCGCCGUCGUGCAAGAGCAGGGCAUCGGGGUCUUCGCGGAGGAGUGGAGGGGGAGGAUGCGGAGGACAGGGCGAAGGAGGUGGCUGGCGAGGAGGACAAGCAGCAGGGAGAAGGAGAAGGGUGACAGCUCGCACACCGUCCUCCUCCCCGCGACGGUUGGCUGGUUGACUCGUCGCGCCAGAGUGUCCUCACAUCCUUAGCACCAUGCAUGAGAGGCGCCGCCUCUGCCUCUGGAAGAAGCAGCAGGGAUUGGUGGAGCAUCGAAUGCGGCCGGGGUCAACGGUUGAGGGAGGGUCGCCCACCGGAGCAGCAUGAGAAAGACCUUGAGUGAAGCUGCAUCAUCCAACAUAGCAAGAUGAAGUACUCAGAAAAAAUCGCAGCAAGUGCGAUUGAUACUCAGGGAAUUGAUCUGAUUCUGAAUCUCCCCUUCUUUCGAGUUGUCUGAAGUGGAAUGGAUUGUCGUCACCUUUGACUAAGCUGUCGAGCCCAAGAACUAUGGCAGACUGGUGGCCCAGCUGUUCAACUUCUCAACACCGUUUAAUUUUGUCUUUGGCUGUCCUUGCGUCCACUCAGCAGAGAAGUAUCUAUACUGAAUUUCUGCUCUAGAUAACUUAUACUCAUAUAAUUUAUCUCUAAUACCCAGUCCAAAACAUUAGUUUCAAAAUGUAACUCUUUGCAGCCCUAAUUUGACAGUACUUUGAGUGCUUUCUAUAGGAACAGGAGUGAGCAAAGACGAAGUCACCUGAGACAGGAAAAACCAGAAGUAUAUGUUAAUAACCAGAUUUUCAACUUUUGUUGACCUUUUAUUUUAACUGAAUGAUAUGUUCUAGCAUUUGAGCUACUAAUCCUAAAUAUUCAGUCGGCUAUCCGUAAGACGCCACAUGUUCUUAGCUGCUAUAUUUUAUACGUGAAAUUAUUUUCUAAGUCCACAUAACGAAGGCAGAAGUCAUGAAAAUUAUGAAAGCCUUUUUGAAAAAAUGAAAAUUACAGAAAGGAUCUUGGAAAAAAGAAUUACUUGUGAACAAUCAUUUUGACUGAUGAGCUGAUCUCUGCCUAAUGAAUCCACUGAGAGAUUGGAGAGCUUUUCUGCUGCAUGAGAAAGAGCCACAGAUGGCCGACUAAUACCCAUUAUAGCAGGAUUCUGCAUAUGAUGUGCAUACACAAGGUGCCGCUGGGUGAUACGGCAGUUCUCUGAACAUAGAAUACUAGAUUAAAGCACUCACAGUAUUUCUUCAGGCACUCAGAUCUCUUGAAGUGGCACCCCUUUGUAUGCUUACCCACAGGAGGGCCUUCUGCCAGUUUGCAUGAUAAAAAUACAAGUGAUUGUUUGAAAAUAUACAUUGUGCUCUACCUCGCCGUUCUGGGCUGCAUGUGGAGGGAUAUUCCCAAUUUUAGGCAUAAAGGCCACAGGGUUUCUUUCAAGGCACUAGGCAAUCAUGAAUAGCUCAUAUAUUUAGGGUAUGCGCCCCUUGUGCUAUAUUUAUAGCAGGUUGUACUUGACAUAUAUUGUGAGAUUUGAUCUGGUAGAGAAGAAGGACCGAGAUAGUCUGGUCUUACCUACAUAUAUGAGUCGUUGUUGAGGACUGAGCAUCGAGCGUGAUUCCGUUUCCAGUCCAUGUAGAUUAGGCAUUGGACGACUUAGCUAGAAACUUUAUAGGUUUUUAGUAUAUAUAUCUUCAGUUAUGUUGUCAUGAUUUGCUUUUUCUGAACCUUGAUAAUACUAUCCUGGAUUUGUGACAACAGUCUACAGAUUUUUCCCUUUAUUUUUUAUCAUUGUGAAGAACAAAUCUACAAAAUUCAACCAGUUGUGAACUCAUCAAGUACGAGACCUCUGUCUAAUAUCAUUUCUACAUGUCGAACCUGAAAGGAUGCCAGCCGAUUGCUUUUCCAAAACUGAUGUUUCAUGUCUUGAAACUUUCCCCAUUUUUCUUUUCAGAGGACAAAGGACAUCCGGAUUAGUUAGCUUCUUUUUACAGUUCCUAUCCAUUGAACUAUAUGCAGUUUUCAGCUAGACCUCGUUUUACAGUGCCUAUCCAUUGAACUAUGUGCAGUGUCAACAAACAUUGUGAGAUGCGAUGGCUGCAAUGGUGGGGCCAAACAAUCCUACGGCAGCAGCAAUAGUCAUCCCACGAUAAAUCUCUGCUAAAUGCUCCUUUCUCUUUACCUCUUUACUCCCGUGUCUCUGAUUUUGAUGUCAUAGUCUAUGUUUUUAGCUAGACACCGUGUUUGCGGAUUUGAUAAAGAAGGGUAGAUGAAGAAGCUAUCAGAAGAUUUUGUUGAACGAAACUUACAUUCUGAUGUUACGAGUGUAGAAAUAUAUUCUGCAUUUUUAGGAAAUUAGAUAAUAGGACCUGCUAAAGGAGAACUUUGGUUAAGCUAUUUCUUUAUUUGUUUGUGCAACCAACCUUAUUUGGUUCUGAUUGGAAGAUAAUACGACCGGCUAAAGGAGAUCUUUGGUAAAAUAUGUCUUUACUGCAACCAUGCUUAUUUGGUUUUGACGAGCUAAAGUAUUGAAGUAUAUGCAGUGUCAACAAACAGCGUGAGAUGAUAUAGCUGCAAUGGUGUGGGGCCAAACAAUCCUACGGCAGCAGCAAUAGUCAGCCCACAAUAAAUCUCUGUUAAGUGCUCCUUUAUCUUUACCUCUUUACUCCCGUGUCUCUGAUUUUGAUUUCAUAAUCUAUGUUUUUAGCUAGACACUGUGUUUGCGGAUUUCAUAAAGAAGGGUAGAUGAAGAAGCUAUCAGAAAAUUUUGUUGAACGAAACUUGCAUUUUGAUGUUACGAGUGUAGAAAUAUAUUCUGCAUUUUUAGGAAAUUAGAUAAUAGGACCUGCUAAAGGAGAACUUUGGUCAAGCUAUUUCUUUAUUUGUUUGUGCAACCAACCUUAUUUGGUUCUGAUUGGAAGAUAAUACGACCGGCUGUACAAACUUCUAUUGAGUAAAGCUCAUUGUUAAGUUCAGAUAUAA